CACACACUCUCUCACACACUCACACAGCCCUCAGUGCACUAGUGACACUCCCACCGACCACCAACACACACACACCACUACAAGGAAGGAAAGCGUGUGUGUGGUACGAGAGUGACCGUAGUGAUGGUUUUACAAGUGUACGUUGGUUUAUAAGUGUAUGUAGUGUCAAGUUUAUAAGUGCACGUAGUGAUGAAAGUGUCUUAUUGAACACAGAUGAUCGAAGAUGACUUACACUUAACACUUAUACGUUAAAUUACGCCUGAGAGUAAAUA